GACGAACGCUGGCGGCGUGCUUAACACAUGCAAGUCGAACGGAAAGGCUCCAGCUUGCUGGCGUACUCGAGUGGCGAACGGGUGAGUAACACGUGGGUAAUCUGCCCUGCACUCUGGGAUAAGCCUGGGAAACUGGGUCUAAUACUGGAUAUGACCUUUCUCCUUAUGGGGUUUGGUGGAAAGUUUUUCGGUGUAGGAUGAGCCCGCGGCCUAUCAGCUUGUUGGUGGGGUGAUGGCCUACCAAGGCGACGACGGGUAGCCGGCCUGAGAGGGUGAUCGGCCACAUUGGGACUGAGAUACGGCCCAGACUCCUACGGGAGGCAGCAGUGAGGAAUAGUGCACAAUGGGCGGAAGCCUGAUGCAGCGACGCCGCGUGAGGGAUGACGGCCUUCGGGUUGUAAACCUCUUUCAGCAGGGACGAAGCGUAAGUGACGGUACCUGCAGAAGAAGCACCGGCUAACUAUGUG
rnacentral:rRNA from 1 species